ACAUGCAAGUCGAACGAGAAAGUGGAGCAAUCCAUGAGUAAAGUGGCGCACGGGUGAGUAACACGUGACUAACCUACCCUUGAGUGGGGAAUAACCUCGGGAAACCGGGGCUAAUACCGCAUAAUACCUUCGGGUCAAAGGAGCAAUUCGCUUAAGGAGGGGGUCGCGGCUGAUUAGCUAGUUGGUGGGGUAAUGGCCUACCAAGGCAAUGAUCAGUAUCCGGCCUGAGAGGGCGCACGGACACACUGGAACUGAAACACGGUCCAGACUCCUACGGGAGGCAGCAGUGGGGAAUUUUGCACAAUGGGGGAAACCCUGAUGCAGCAACGCCGCGUGGAGGAUGAAGUCCCUUGGGAUGUAAACUCCUUUCGACCGGGACGAUUAUGACGGUACCGGUGGAAGAAGCCCCGGCUAACUCUGUGCCAGCAGCCGCGGUAAUACAGAGGGGGCAAGCGUUGUUCGGAAUUAUUGGGCGUAAAGGGUGCGUAGGCGGUGCGGUAAGUCUUCUGUGAAAUCUCCGGGCUCAACUCGGAGUCUGCAGGAGAAACUGCCGUGCUUGAGUAUGGGAGAGGUGAGUGGAAUUCCUGGUGUAGCGGUGAAAUGCGUAGAUAUCAGGAGGAACACCUGUGGCGAAAGCG
rnacentral:rRNA from 1 species